ACUCCUACGGGAGGCAGCAGUGGGGAAUAUUGCACAAUGGGCGCAAGCCUGAUGCAGCCAUGCCGCGUGUAUGAAGAAGGCCUUCGGGUUGUAAAGUACUUUCAGCAGUGAGGAAGGUGGAUAUGUUAAUAGCAUAUUCAUUUGACGUUAGCUGCAGAAGAAGCACCGGCUAACUCCGUGCCAGCAGCCGCGGUAAUACGGAGGGUGCGAGCGUUAAUCGGAAUUACUGGGCGUAAAGCGCAUGCAGGUGGUUUGUUAAGUCAGAUGUGAAAGCCCGGGGCUCAACCUCGGAAUUGCAUUUGAAACUGGCAAACUAGAGUACUGUAGAGGGGGUAGAAUUUCAGGUGUAGCGGUGAAAUGCGUAGAGAUCUGAAGGAAUACCGGUGGCGAAGGCGGCCCCCUGGACAGAUACUGACACUCAGAUGCGAAAGCGUGGGGAGCAAACAGGAUUAGAUACCCUUGUAG
rnacentral:rRNA from 1 species